GUGGUGGCUCGCGAAGAUGAAUGGCUAUUGCUGCAUGUUUACCUCUCUCUUGGGGGGACAUGGGGACAGCAGUGACAUAUCGACCAGAAGAACAAGGAGAAGGAGAAAGGAUGU
ensembl:ncRNA C09D8.7 ncRNA